rnacentral:rRNA from 1 species
GAUGAACGCUGGCGGCGUGCCUAAUACAUGCAAGUCGAGCGAACGGACGAGAAGCUUGCUUUUCUGACGUUAGCGGCGGACGGGUGAGUAACACGUGGAUAACCUACCUAUAAGACUGGGAUAACUUCGGGAAACCGGAGCUAAUACCGGAUAAUAUUUUGAACCGCAUGGUUCAAUAGUGAAAGACGGUCUUGCUGUCACUUAUAGAUGGAUCCGCGCUGCAUUAGCUAGUUGGUAAGGUAACGGCUUACCAAGGCAACGAUGCGUAGCCGACCUGAGAGGGUGAUCGGCCACACGGGAACUGAGACACGGUCCAGACGCCUACGGGAGGCAGCAGUAGGGAAUCUGCCGCAAUGGGCGAAAGCCUGACGGAGCAACGCCGCGUGAGUGAUGAAGGUCUUCGGAUCGUAAAACUCUGUUAUUAGGGAAGAACAUAUGUGUAAGUAACUGUGCACAUCUUGACGGUACCUAAUCAGAAAGCCACGGCUAACUACGUG